rnacentral:rRNA from 1 species
CCGUAACUAUAACGGUCCUAAGGUAGCGAAAUUCCUUGUCGGGUAAGUUCCGACCUGCACGAAUGGCGUAAUGAUGGCCAGGCUGUCUCCACCCGAGACUCAGUGAAAUUGAACUCGCUGUGAAGAUGCAGUGUACCCGCGGCAAGACGGAAAGACCCCGUGAACCUUUACUAUAGCUUGACACUGAACAUUGAGCCUUGAUGUGUAGGAUAGGUGGGAGGCUUUGAAGUGUGGACGCCAGUCUGCAUGGAGCCGACCUUGAAAUACCACCCUUUAAUGUUUGAUGUUCUAACGUGGACCCGUUACCCGGGUUGCGGACAGUGUCUGGUGGGUAGUUUGACUGGGGCGGUCUCCUCCUAAAGAGUAACGGAGGAGCACGAAGGUUGGCUAAUCCUGGUCGGACAUCAGGAGGUUAGUGCAAUGGCAUAAGCCAGCUUGACUGCGAGCGUGACGGCGCGAGCAGGUGCGAAAGCAGGUCAUAGUGAUCCGGUGGUUCUGAAUGGAAGGGCCAUCGCUCAACGGAUAAAAGGUACUCCGGGGAUAACAGGCUGAUACCGCCCAAGAGUUCAUAUCGACGGCGGUGUUUGGCACCUCGAUGUCGGCUCAUCACAUCCUGGGGCUGAAGUAGGUCCCAAGGGUAUGGCUGUUCGCCAUUUAAAGUGGUACGCGAGCUGGGUUUAGAACGUCGUGAGACAGUUCGGUCCCUAUCUGCCGUGGGCGCUGGAGAACUGAGGGGGGCUGCUCCUAGUACGAGAGGACCGGAGUGGACGCAUCACUGGUGUUCGGGUUGUCAUGCCAAUGGCACUGCCCGGUAGCUAAAUGCGGAAGAGAUAAGUGCUGAAAGCAUCUAAGCACGAAACUUGCCCCGAGAUGAGUUCUCCCUGAGACUUUA